GACAGAGGGUGCAAACGUUGUUCGGAAUUACUGGGCGUAAAGCGUGUGUAGGCGGUCCACUAAGUCGGGUGUGAAAGCCCUGGGCUCAACCCAGGAAGUGCACUCGAAACUGGCGGGCUAGAGUAUCGGAGAGGUUGGUGGAAUUCUCGGUGUAGAGGUGAAAUUCGUAGAUAUCGAGAGGAACACCAGUGGCGAAGGCGGCCAACUGGACGAAUACUGACGCUGAGACACGAAAGCGUGGGGAGCAAACAGG
rnacentral:rRNA from 1 species